AUGUUUCAAAUAUUCAAAACUAAGUGUCAUUUUGCUGUACUUACCGCUAUCCUUACUGGUUCUCUCUAUUACGUCGAUGUCUCUCCUAAAGAUCCUACCUAUAUUGUUGCGCCGUUUUUACAAUCUCACACAAGUCGUCAAGAUUUGAAAAAGAUCUUCGAAACCUGGUAUGAGAAAAAGCAAGUGACGAAAAUCUAUUCACCACUUCUGGAAGAACUAUUGGCUCUCUAUCUCGAUUUUGAGUGGAUCUAA